GAGGUGUUGUUUGGAGGGAGAAACACAUUGAUGUUGGGGUGAAGAUCACCAAUAAAAGAAGAUGUCCGGCAGCAUAAUCAACAGUAAACCAAGUUCCUUGAAAGGUUAAUCACUCGACAUGGCCUCUCACUGUCAACACCAGCAAUGGAUUUUGUAUGUUUAGGGGUCAUGAUGAAUCAAACAAACAAGACUAAAUCAAGCACAAGAGAAAUGAUGCAGUCAAGAGCUGUGGUAAACAGAUGUAUGAAUCUGCUUCUGGUGUAGCAUACACAGCAUACUGUUUUACAGCAAACUCUUGUUUUGGUUGGAGUGAUGUACCAGAAAAUCAACCCCACCGAGAGCUAAACUAGGAGCCAGAAGACUCUUAGGAAACACAGAAAGGCACAUGGAAGUUGCAUUGAACAUUUUAUAUCAACCAAAUGUUCCCCUAAUGAUCAACCAGUUUCCAAGGAAAACACUGAAAGUUUUAAUUAAAAAAUUUAGCCACAGAUUAAAUG